CCAAAGGCUCUUUUAAGAGCCACCGAUUUUUUCAAGUAAAAGGGCU
rfam:Buceros rhinoceros silvestris contig56541, whole genome shotgun sequence.